rnacentral:misc_RNA from 1 species
GAUGAAGAACGUAGCGAAAUGCGAUAAGUAAUGUGAAUUGCAGAAUUCCGUGAAUCAUCGAAUCUUUGAACGCAUAUUGCGCCCUCUGGCAUUCCGAGGGGCAUGCCUGUUCGAGCGUCAUUAUAACCCCUCAAGCUCAGCUUGGUGUUGGGGCCUGCUGCACUGGCAGCCCUUAAAAUCAGUGGCGGCGCCAUCUGGCUCUAAGCGUAGUAAUUCUUCUCGCUAUGGAGUCCUGGUGGAUGCUUGCCAUCAACCCCCAAUUUUUCUAUGGUUGACCUCGGAUCAGGUAGGGAUACCCGCUGAACUUAAGCAUAUCAAUAAGCGGAGGA